CGACGCCGCGUGGGGAGUGAAGGCCUUCGGUUGUAACCCUUCACCAGGAGCGAAUUCAGACGGUACCUGGGAAGAAGCGCCGGCUAACUACGUGC
rnacentral:rRNA from 1 species